rnacentral:lncRNA from 1 species
GGAGCGCUGACCCAACCCACAGAUGGUUUUACAUUGUUUUCCUCAAAAAAUUAAUUUUAUUUAAAAAUAAUAAAAAAAAAUUUAAAAAUUAAAAAAAAAUUCCCAUGAGCGUGAGGACAAGGGGGGGCAGUCGGACUGGCGGCGUUGCUGAUCCCAUGCACGGCGGCUCCACGGCAUGGACGCGGCCGUGGUAGCUUAUAUCUAAUAAUAAUAAUAAUAAUAAUAAUAAUAAUAAUAAUAAUAACAAUAAUAAUAACAAUGAUAAUAAUGAUAAUAAUGAUAAUAAUAAUAACAAUAACGAUAUUAAUAAUAAUGAUAAUAACAAUAAUAAAAACAAUAAUAACAACAAAAAUAACAAAAAUAAUAACAAUAAUAAUAACAUAAUAAUAAUAAAAACAAUAAUAAUAAUAAUAAUAACAAUAAUAAUAAUAAUUUGAAGUCUGCGUGUUUCCUGGGCAGAUCCAGCUGGGGUCGGGAGAUUUAUUUCUAAAUUCUGUUCCGUGAUUUUUUUUAUAUAUAUAAUAAAAAUUAAAAUUUAAGGUGUGAUAACGUGAUGCGAUGUGCAGUCUACGUGACGUGCAGGACGGGAGAUGGCAGUAAAAUAAAAAUAUAGAUGAUGUGUAAUAAUCAGUGUAAUUACUAUUAUUAUUAUUAUUUAUUAUUAUUUAUUAUUAUUUAUUAUUAUUUAUUAUUAUUUAUUAUUGUUAUUAUUUAUUUAUUAUUAAUUAUUAUUUAUUAUUAUUAUUAUUAUUGUUUUUGUUCAACGGGCCGUGUUGCAUGCUGGGUCCUGCUCUCCUUCCGGUCCCACUGCGCAGCCGCCUCCUCCCUGGCACGACUGUGACAAACAGGGCGACGUCGUGCGUGACCCGCCGGCCUCCCCAGCCGUGGUUAUCGGCGAGGCAACCGGCCGCCGCCGUGAUUAUGUUUUAUAAAAGUGAUUUUUUUCCAAUUUUUAAAUUAUUUUUAUUAUUUUUCUCUUUUUUGGAAUUUAUUAUUAUGUUAUACAGUAUUUCUAUUAUAUUUUAUAAAAGUGAUUUUUUUCCAAUUUUUAAAUUAUUUUUAUUAUUUUUCUCUUUUUUGGAAUUUAUUAUUACAUUAUACAGUAUUUCUAUUAUAUUUUUUAAAGUGAUUUUUUUCCAAUUUUAAAAUCAUUUUUAUUGUUUUUAUUAUAUGUUAUAAUUUAUUAUUGUCUUACACAGCAUUUCCGUUAUUGCACGUUUAUACAUCAUGCCAUGCGUUGUAUACGGUGCGCGUGACAUCACAUUAAUAUUUACUCACCCUAUGGAUUGUCCCGAGCAUUCGUUAUCGUACCUUAUAUCUUAUCUUAUACCCCACAUAUUGCAUAUUAUCGUAUACGUCACGUAUAAAUAUAAAAACCUGCCACACGUUUAUUAUUGCAUGACAUAUAUUUCCCUCCUGGGAAAGCCUCCGCCUUCUCCUGCAGGGGCAUGGCUGCCUUGGGAAACAACGGCCACGACCUGGGGUUGCGGGGGGGGGGGAUUUAAAUUGGGGGAUAAAAAAAAUGAUGUACGGCGCGGUGACGGCAGAUUUAGUGAUAAAAAAUAAUACGUAACGUGUGUGAUAUAUAAUAUGAUGUAGAAUGUACGUAAUUAUAUGGAACAUACAUGAUAUAUGUGUAAUAAUCCAUGGCGUGUUACAUGUAAUAUAAUAUAUAAUAUAAUAAUAUGAGAUAAGCAUAAUAUAUGAUAGUAAAUGGCAUGUUAUAUAUAAUAUAAUAUAAUAUAUAUGAUAAUAUGCGAUAUACAUAGUAUAAAUGUAAUAAUAGAAUGGAGUGCUAUAUAAUAUAUAAUAUUUAUGAUAGUAUGGGAUAUACAUGAUAUAUGGUAAUAAUGCAUGGUGAGCUACAUAUAAUGUAAUAUAAUAUAUAAUAUAUAACAUAUAUAAUAUACGAUAAUACGGGAUAUGUAUAAUAUAUAUGAUAAUACAUGGCAUGUUAUAUAUAAUAUAUAAUAUAUAUGAUAGUAUGGGAUAUACAUGAUAUAUGUGUAAUAAUGCAUGGUGUUUUAUAUAUAAUAUAAUAUAUAUGAUAAUAUGCGAUAUACAUAGUAUAUAUGUAAUAAUACGUGGAGUGUUAUAUGAUAUAUAAUAUUUAUGAUAGUAUGGGAUACACAUGAUAUAUGUGUAAUAAUACAUGGUGUGUUACAUAUAAUAUAAUAUAAUAUAAAUAUAGAAUAUAUAUAAUAUUUUCAAUAAUAUAUGGCGUGUUAUAUAUGAUAUAAUAUAUAAUAUAUAUGCUAAUAUAGAAUAUAUAUAAUAUAUGUAAUAAUACAUUGCAUGUUAUAUAUAAUAUAUAAUAUAUAUGCUAAUAUAGAAUAUUUAUAAUAUAUGUAAUAAUACAUGGCGUGUUAUAUAUAAAUAUAUGCUAAUAUAGAAUAUAUAUGAUAUGUGUGUAAUAAUACAUGGC